AGCUUAUCGGGAAGUGCCUCAGAGUUUCAAAAACCCAACGGGAACGGCAAACAAGUGAGUGUAUAAAAACGUGAGAAAAUACGGCACUUUUUAAUGUGUAAAUUGUAUAAGAAAAUUCAACGCACUCUGUAAUAGUAAGCUCUUAUAAAAUCUAAAAAAAAAUACUCUCUAUCUACAUCAUGUUAUAAAUGAAAAACUCAAAUUUCAUCCUCUUUAUCGUUCGUUACAACAUGGAAAAUCGUGUUCUAAUCGGCAAUGAGCAAUGGUUGAACCGGCGGAUAAUUUAUCGCGGUGCAAUAUCCAACACCAUCUAUAAUCAUUAGUGUAACGGCGCCCUUCUGUCUCGCUUUGACGCUUCAAAGUUCAAAUAACAUCAGGUCAGACUAAUGUUGUGCAGUAACUGUGUAAAUGCAGGACGAGUAGAAUAAUAUAAGCUAUUGGAAUAACCUUCGAUUUAAAUUAGAGUAACUGUAAUGUAUCCUAAUUAAGUUUCUUUAACUUUGUCAUUAUGAAUCUUAAAGUUGAACUAAGAAAAACCGUUGUGUCCGAACUACAAGAUAUAUAAAACAUUACAACCAUACGCUGUUGUGCAAAUCGUAAGAGAUAUAACUUCCCUUCAUUUUCUCGGAAGUAAAGGAGGUUUAAUUACUCAAAAUACAUUGAACAAUACAAAGUUUUCACAAAACAAAAAUGUAUAUUUAAAAAACGUCAGAUUUAGCAUGACGAAACUGACUCUUCACACAACGCUAUUAAUAAAAAACAAUGUACUUGACUCUCAAAAGUCCGUUUAUCAUGUAAAAAACAUUAAAAGCAAGCAUGUUAAAAGUGUUAAUCAAUCACUACAAGGAUGAACAAUGUCGCAAGACACCUAAAAAUACAUCAAGAGUAUUGGUCGUCACAGCUGCUAAUACCAGCUGAAAGCUAUUUAUUUAUGUUCCAAAAUAUUCGCGAAACAAAAAUAAAAGACUGCUCUCUUUUGAUUACCUAUGUAAAAAGUUCCACUAGUCUGUAUUUGGGCGCACUUUUUUAAUAUAACGGGUAAACGUCGAGGCGCUCGCGUUAGCAACAAUGGCAAUAAGUUGCGUCAUGAGACUUCCUCGUAAGCAUUCUCGGUACAUGGCGGGGAGGUACAUAAAUCUCCACAUAUUGCCUUGCUCCGAGUAUCCAGACUGUAAGAGAAACAGCCAACCCUUGGCCCGCUCGUUAUUGAGCUCUCACACCCAUUGUUCCCGUCCUUUUCGCACGAAUGCUGAAAUCCUAUACCGCUGCCCUUUGCCGUCCCGCUCCAAUUUCAAUUUACUCGAGACGGAUUUUCAGAGCUUCAUAAGAUUGCCUUACAUAGUACAGGUGAAAAAAUAAGAUAAAUCAAUUAGUAGAAAAAGUUUAUUAAAAAAUACCAACCUGACCUUUAGCGUUUCAGAUUCUAGGGCCUGCAAAAGAUUGGACAAAACAGAAGUUGUAUCUUAAAUAUAGUAACGUUCUUAGACUGAAAACGCAAGAAAAUUUAACGUUCCAGUUGAUUAUUGUACUUCAUAAUUAUCACCACAUCAAUUUUAAUUAGUCGGUUUAUUCUUGAUAAUACAUCUGUCCAAUUAAACCAGUAAAUUAAAUUUAAUAUACCGAGGAAUUCAAGGUUUUCUGUAAUUUCUCUCACUGUUAACGUUCAUAAUAUGUAAGAUCUGGAACAAAUCAUUAAUCACUGAAAAAAAUUGGCCUCAAUUUGUAGAGUUAUUCGUAAGAAAUCGUGUCUUGCCCUCAAUUCCUAAAUCAUCUUGCCAACAAAGAUUGUAAACGAUCACAAUCAAAACUAGCUUUUCUUUAUUCCCAAGUAUUUUUAUAACGAACCCAGACUUAAAUUGAACUGGAUUUAAGCUCAAUUUUUCAACAGAAUAUCAAUAAUUCAUGUCAACAAGGGCCUGUGAAUAAUAAAUCAUUGUACAUGUAACACAUUUCUCUUAAAUUGUUGAACAGAAUCAUCACAAUUGCAUGUUUGUUCUAAACAACAUUUACGCCAGUAUUUGCAAUUCGUUUCUGAUAUCUUUGCGUGUACUAUGCACCGCUGCGCGAUUCGUUAGGUAUCUAAUAGAGACGACAAUCUUUUGUUCUUGUUAGUAAGUGCCUAUAUACGGUAGCUGCUGUCUCGCUCGAACACAAUGGCGGCACAUAAAUCUGCUGAAUUCGGAAGCACCAUUACGAAGGAAAAUCCUCAAAUGCUUUUAGUAUAGUGGAUUUCUUAUAGCGCAUGAUAUUAGGACAAACCAACAUAAAAAAAACCAAAGGAUGAAAGGAAGACUGCAAUUUUAGCUCAAAAAGUUUUUUUUCACUAUGAAUGAACUGCGCCAGAUGUACCAACGAAUGAACCUAACCAUUACUACCAAAAAAAAAACAAAAGCAGAAACACAACCAAAACCAGUUAUUAUGUGCAUCGUGAUGUUCCAAAGACAGCCAGGGCUGGUGGUGUCUCAGCAGCUCAUGAGAGUAUGGGUGGUGAGGAGGGGCGUAC